rnacentral:rRNA from 1 species
ACGUACGCUGGCGGCACGCCUAACACAUGCAAGUCGAACGAAGUAGCAAUACUUAGUGGCAGACGGGUGAGUAACAUGUAGGUAUCUGCCCUUUGGCCUGGAAUAACACGAGGAAACUUGUGCUAAUACCGGAUAAGUCUUUACGGAGAAAGCUUUAUGCACCAUUGGAUGAGCCUGCACUUGAUUAGUUUGUUGGUGGGGUAAUGGCCUACCAAGACUGUGAUCAAUAGCUGAUUUGAGAGGAUGAUCAGCCACAUUGGGACUGAGACACGGCCCAAACUCCUACGGGAGGCAGCAGUGGGGAAUCUUGCACAAUGGAGGAAACUCUGAUGCAGCGAUGCCGCGUGAGUGAAGAAGGCCCUUGGGUUGUAAAGCUCUUUCGUCGGGGAAGAAAAUGACUGUACCCGAAUAAGAAGGUCCGGCUAACUUCGUGCCAGCAGCCGCGGUAAUACGAAGGGACCUAGCGUAGUUCGGAAUUACUGGGCUUAAAGAGUUCGUAGGUGGUUGAAAAAGUUAGUGGUGAAAUCCCAGAGCUUAACUCUGGAACUGCCAUUAAAACUUUUCAGCUAGAGUAUGAUAGAGGAAAGCAGAAUUUCUAGUGUAGAGGUGAAAUUCGUAGAUAUUAGAAAGAAUACCAAUUGCGAAGGCAGCUUUCUGGAUCAUUACUGACACUGAGGAACGAAAGCAUGGGUAGCGAAGAGGAUUAGAUACCCUCGUAGUCCAUGCCGUAAACGAUGUGUGUUAGACGUUGGAAAUUUAUUUUCAGUGUCGCAGCGAAAGCGAUAAACACACCGCCUGGGGAGUACGACCGCAAGGUUAAAACUCAAAUGAAUUGACGGGGACCCGCACAAGUAGUGGAGCAUGUGGUUUAAUUCGAAGAUACGCGCAGAACCUUACCAACACUUGACAUGUUCGUCGCGACUCUAAGAGAUUAGAGUUUUCGGUUCGGCCGGACGAAACACAGGUGCUGCAUGGCUGUCGUCAGCUCGUGUCGUGAGAUGUUGGGUUAAGUCCCGCAACGAGCGCAACCCUCACUUUUAGUUGCCAUCAUUAAGUUGGGCACUCUGAAAGAACUGCCAGUGAUAAGCUGGAGGAAGGUGGGGAUGACGUCAAGUCCUCAUGGCCCUUACGUGUUGGGCUACACACGUGCUACAAUGGUAUCUACAACAGGAAGCAAGACUGCGAAGUUAAGCAAAUCCCUAAAAGAUACCUCAGUUCGGAUUGCACUCUGCAACUCGAGUGCAUGAAGCUGGAAUUACUAGUAAUCGUGGAUCAGCGUGCCACGGUGAAUGCGUUCCCGGGUCUUGUACACACCGCC